GAUGAACGCUGGCGGCGUGCCUAAUACAUGCAAGUCGAGCGAACGGACGAGAAGCUUGCUUCUCUGAUGUUAGCGGCGGACGGGUGAGUAACACGUGGAUAACCUACCUAUAAGACUGGGAUAACUUCGGGAAACCGGAGCUAAUACCGGAUAAUAUUUUGAACCGCAUGGUUCAAAAGUGAAAGACGGUCUUGCUGUCACUUAUAGAUGGAUCCGCGCUGCAUUAGCUAGUUGGUAAGGUAACGGCUUACCAAGGCAACGAUGCAUAGCCGACCUGAGAGGGUGAUCGGCCACACUGGAACUGAGACACGGUCCAGACUCCUACGGGAGGCAGCAGUAGGGAAUCUUCCGCAAUGGGCGAAAGCCUGACGGAGCAACGCCGCGUGAGUGAUGAAGGUCUUCGGAUCGUAAAACUCUGUUAUUAGGGAAGAACAUAUGUGUAAGUAACUGUGCACAUCUUGACGGUACCUAAUCAGAAAGCCACGGCUAACUACGUGCCAGCAGCCGCGGUAAUACGUANGUGGGCAGCGUUAUCCGGAAUUAUUGGGCGUAAAGCGCGCGUAGGCGGUUUUUUAGUCUGAUGUGAAAGCCCACGGCUCAACCGUGGAGGGUCAUUGGAAACUGGAAAACUUGAGUGCAGAAGAGGAAAGUGGAAUUCCAUGUGUAGCGGUGAAAUGCGCAGAGAUAUGGAGGAACACCAGUGGCGAAGGCGACUUUCUGGUCUGUAACUGACGCUGAUGUGCGAAAGCGUGGGGAUCAAACAGGAUUAGAUACCCUGGUAGUCCACGCCGUAAACGAUGAGUGCUAAGUGUUAGGGGGUUUCCGCCCCUUAGUGCUGCAGCUAACGCAUUAAGCACUCCGCCUGGGGAGUACGACCGCAAGGUUGAAACUCAAAGGAAUUGACGGGGACCCGCACAAGCGGUGGAGCAUGUGGUUUAAUUCGAAGCAACGCGAAGAACCUUACCAAAUCUUGACAUCCUUUGACAACUCUAGAGAUAGAGCCUUCCCCUUCGGGGGACAAAGUGACAGGUGGUGCAUGGUUGUCGUCAGCUCGUGUCGUGAGAUGUUGGGUUAAGUCCCGCAACGAGCGCAACCCUUAAGCUUAGUUGCCAUCAUUAAGUUGGGCACUCUAAGUUGACUGCCGGUGACAAACCGGAGGAAGGUGGGGAUGACGUCAAAUCAUCAUGCCCCUUAUGAUUUGGGCUACACACGUGCUACAAUGGACAAUACAAAGGGCAGCGAAACCGCGAGGUCAAGCAAAUCCCAUAAAGUUGUUCUCAGUUCGGAUUGUAGUCUGCAACUCGACUACAUGAAGCUGGAAUCGCUAGUAAUCGUAGAUCAGCAUGCUACGGUGAAUACGUUCCCGGGUCU
rnacentral:rRNA from 1 species